UACGGAGGAUCCAAGCGUUAUCCGGAUUUAUUGGGUUUAAAGGGUGCGUAGGCGGCCUAUUAAGUCAGGGGUGAAAGACGGUGGCUCAACCAUCGCAGUGCCUUUGAUACUGGUAGGCUUGAUUACACUUGAGGUAGGCGGAAUGUGACAAGUAGCGGUGAAAUGCGUAGAUAUGUCGCAGAACCCCAAUUGCGAAGGCAGCUUCCUGGGGUGUUAAUGUCGCUGAGGCGCGAAAGCGUGGGGAUCAAUCAGG
rnacentral:rRNA from 1 species